CUCCGCCUUUGCUUACCCUCUUGGCUAGUCUAGCGGCCAAGGCUUCCCGCUUUCGGGGAAGGCCUGCAAAGUGAGGCCUCGGGCUAGGGUUGGCGGGCGCGUGGUGGGAACCGCGUGGAACCGAAGGGCUCCCACGGGAACAAGGGCAUCACUGACGGUACGGCCUCUCGGGUCUAUUGACCCUUCUCUGCCUCCCCGGUCCGGACUCAUACAACUUGGAGGCCCAGAGGUCGUCCAGUCUCAUCUUGACGUCAGAUAUUUGACCAUAUGAUAUCAUGAAACAUUCUUUGAGCACUUGGUGCCACACACUGUUUGGGAACAGGAAAUCUGCAAUAAUGUUCUCCCUACCGUCAAGUAGGAAAACAGCAAUACGGUGAACAAUAGGUGUUCCAUCAGUUAUGUGACCUUGGGCAAUUAUGUGACCUUGGGCAACUUCUCAUCUCCAAGCUUGUUUUGUUGUGAGAAUGUGGUCUACAUCACAGACAUAACAGCUAACAUUUAUUGAGUGUUAUGUUCUGGGUACUAUGCUAAAGGUUUUUUACGUAUUAUCUCACAUUAUUAUGUAUUAUCCUAUGUAUUAUGUAUUAUGUAUUAUCCUAACAUUCCCAUUUUACAGAAACAGAGGUACCUAAGUAACCUGCUUAAUGUGACAGACCUAGUAAGAGGGAGCUGGGAAGUUGAACCCAGCAAUCUGAAAAAGCAGGAUGUGAUGGGGCUAAGAGAAAGCCAUGUGCCUAGCCGGGCGUGGUGGCUCACACUUGUAAUCCCAGCACUUUGGGAGGGCCGAUCACUUGAAGCCUGGAGUUCGAGUUCAGCCUGGCCAACAUGGUGAAACCCCGUGUCCACUAAAAAUACAAAAAUUAGCCAGGCGUGCACACACCUGUAAUCCCAGCUACUUGGGACGCUGAGGCACAAGAAUUGCUUGAACUGGGGAGGCGGAGGUUGCGGUGAGCCAAGAUCAUGCCACUGCACUCGAGCCUGGGCAACAGAGUGAGAACCUGUCUCAAAUACAUAAAAAUACAUUGUGUCAUAUCGAUUUGUGAAAAGUUCCUACUUUAAGAGAGCUUACAUGUAACAGAAAACCACCAGGCAAUUAAAACAGUUUCUAUAAGGGCUAUUAAAGUGCAAGAUUCUAGAGAGGCAUUUAGGAGUGGCAUCUGUCCAAGCCAAACUUGCUGUGUGAGUGCAGGAAUAUACAAAAUGUUAAGUCUAAACAAAGUAGAGAGAUCAUUUCAGGUAGAGGCCAUUCCAUCUACAUCCUCCUAUUAAUUAGAAGGCACUUUGAGGAUAGGUAUUGCCUCUUGUUUAUCUAGAUAAACUCCAGAGUUUAGUUUGGCUUAAAUCUGUUAAUUCUAUUAACUUAAUUCUGUUAUUCUCGAUUAACUCUGUUAAACAGAAAAGAUGCUCAAUAAAUUGUUUCUCAGUUGAAUGGGAAAAAACCAAUUACUUAAAAUUGGGAAUGCUGACUUUCAAAGAGGCUGAAUAGAUUUCAGCCUAAGCUUAAAAAUUCAUUUUUUUCUGGCACCUUUGCAACGAGGAACUAGUUUUCUAUAACGUGGUUGGCCUGAAACUGAAUUGUUCUAAUGAUAAUGCAUAGAUACUACAAGCCUAGAAGAAACAUGUCCUAUUAUAGAGCAGAGACAUUCCUGCUGAAUUCUUCAUUAUAUUGGAUAUAACUGAAACUAAUUGUCUUACCUUUGAAUAUUUAUAAGUUCAAAAAUAGUCAACAUUUAUUCUAAUGGUAUAACUUUUUUUUUUUUUUUGGAGACAGUCUCACUCUGUCACUCAGGAUGGAGUGCAGUGGCAUGAUCUCAGCACACUGCAGCCUCCACCUCCCAAGUUCAAGUGAUUCUCAUGCCUCAGUCUCCUGAGUAGCUGGGAUUACAAGCGUCCGCCACCAUGCCCAGCUAAUUUUUGUAUUUUUAGUAGAGAGGGCAUUCUGCCAUGUUGGCCAGGCUGGUUCUCGAACUCCUGACCUCAAGUGAUUGGCCUGCUAAAGUGUUGGGAUUACAGGUGUGAGCCACUGCACCUGGCCAAGGUGUAAAAUUUUAAAGCGCCUUUGGUUGAAACCAAACUAUUUCCACAUUGUACUUUAACAAGUGAAUGGUUAGAAUGCUAUUUUGCAUUAGUUUCCAAUUUGUGAAUGGCAAAUUCCCAGGGGCCAUAGAGUUACUGUCAAGAUGAAAGAAUCUACCAAAGACCAACCCAAGUUUAUACCCUUCACUGUCUGCCACGGUAGCCAUUAGCUACAUAUAGCUACUCAACACUUGAAUUGUGGCUAGUCUAAUUUUAAGCUAUAGAUGCGGUAUAGCUUGAAAUGCACACUGGAUUUUCAAGAUUUUAUAUGAAAAAUGGAAUGCAAAACAUCUCAUUAACCAUUUUUAUAUUAACUAUAUGUUGAAAUAAUAUUUUGGGUAUAUUAGGUUAAAUACACUACUAAAAAUAAUUUUCGGCUGGGCACAGUGGCUGAUGCCUAUAAUUCCAGCACUUUGGGAGGCCAAGGUGAGCAGACCACGAGGUCAGGAGUUCGAGACCAUCCUGGCCAACAUGGUGAAACCCCAUCUCUACUAAAAAUACAAAAAUUACCUGGGCGUGGUGGCAUGUGCCUGUAAUCCCAGCUACUCGGGAGGCUGGAGAAUCAGCAAAUUUUACCUGUUUUUUACUUCUUUAAUGUGAUACUAGAAAAUUUAAAAUUAUACAUGCAGCUCAACAUUUUAUGAGACACCACUGCAGCAGACUAAAUAAAUGAUUUAUAAAGCAUGUAUUGGGCCGGGCACGGUGGCUCACGCCUGUAAUCCCAGCACUUUGGGAGGCUGAGGUGGGUGGAUCACGAGGUUGGGAGUUCAAGACCAGCCUGGCCAACAUAAUGAAACUCCAUCUCUACUAAAAAUACAAAAUUAGCUGGGCGUGCUGGUACAUGCCUGUAAUCCCAGCUACUCGGGAGGCUGAGGCAGGAGAAUUGCUUGAACCCGGAAGGCGGAGGUUGUGGUGAGCCGAGAUCAUGCCAUUGUACUCCAGCCUGGGCAACAAGAGUGAACUCCGUCUCAAAAAAAAAAAAAAAGAAAAGAAAAAAAAAUUAUACCCCAAUAAUGGGAACCACUACUUUACACACUAUGGAUUCAUAAUAAAAUUUAUUUGAGGGAGAAUGGAGAUAAGAGGAUAAAUAAGAGGCCAGCCAGUGGGUGUGCAAA
rnacentral:lncRNA from 10 species